AGCAGGGGCUCUCGCGAGGGGGAACCGUGAACCUGGUCAGGACUUAAUUGGAGCAGCCAUAAGCGGGGUACUCUUGUGCGGGAGCCUCUGGUGGG
rnacentral:SRP_RNA from 1 species